rnacentral:rRNA from 1 species
CGGCGCGCUUAAUGCAUGCAAGUCGAGCGAUGAGGUCUCUUCGGGGGGCACAUCAGCGGCAGACGGGUGAGUAACACGUAGGUAACCUACCCCAGAGACAGGGAUAACGCGAGGAAACGAGGGCUAAUACCGGAUGACCUCCGGAAGGAGGAAAGGCUCAGGCGCUCUGGGAGGGGCUUGCGGCCCAUCAGCUAGUUGGUAGGGUAAAGGCCUACCAAGGCGAAGACGGGUAGGGGGUGUGAGAGCACGGCCCCCCACAAUGGGACUGAAACACGGCCCAUACUCCUACGGGAGGCAGCAGCAGGGAAUAUUGCACAAUAGGCGAAAGCCUGAUGCAGCGACGCCGCGUGAGUGAAGAAGGCCUUCGGGUCGUAAAGCUCUUUUGUAGGGGAAGAGGAAGGACGGUACCCUAAGAAGAAGCGUCGGCUAACUACGUGCCAGCAGCCGCGGUAAGACGUAGGACGCGAGCGUUAUCCGGAAUUACUGGGCGUAAAGGGCCAGCAGGCGGCUUGGUAAGUUGUGCGUGAAAGCCUCGUGCUCAACGCGAGGAAGCCGGACAAUACUGUCAAGCUAGAGGGCAUCAGAGGGGAGUGGAAUUCCCGGAGUAGCGGUAAAAUGCGCAGAUAUCGGGAGGAACACCGAUGGCGAAGGCAGCUCCCUGGGAUGCACCUGACGC